GUCAACCACAGGGGCGGGCUGUCUGGCGUGCUGGACACCGACACCGGAGGGGUACCUCGGGGUGGAGAGCUCCUCGCUUUCAGGCAGGAUAAGGGAAUCGACGUAGUAGCUCAAGGCCAGAUACGAUGAUGGGCCGUGAGAGGAGGCUGCAUCUCUCAGGCAAAUGAAACUUUGAGCUUGGAGUUGAGGAAUUUGGAGGAUAGCUUGUCAAUAAAUUCAUCCAAACUUUU